UACGGAGGGUGCAAGCGUUAUCCGGAUUCACUGGGUUUAAAGGGUGCGUAGGCGGGCAGGUAAGUCCGUUGGUGGAAAUCAUCUGAGCUUAACUCAGAAACUGCCAUGGAUACUAUUUGUCUUGAAUGUUGUGGAGGUAAGCGGAAUAUGUCAUGUAGCGGUGAAAUGCUUAGUAUAUGACAUAGAACACCAAUUGCGAAGGCAGCUUACUACACAAAUAUUGACGCUGAGGCACGAAAGCGUGGGGAUCAAACAGG
rnacentral:rRNA from 1 species